rnacentral:lncRNA from 1 species
UUUUUUUUUUUUUUUUUUUUCCUUUUUUGGCUGCCCCACAGUGUGUGGCAUUCCUGGGCCAGGGAUCAGAUCCAAGCCACAAUUGUGACCUAUGCAGCACCUACAGCAACACCGGAUCCUUAACCCACUGUGAGGUGUCAGGGCUCGAACCUGUGUCCUGGUGCUCUAGAGAUGCCACCAACCCUGUUUCACCACAGCAGGGACUCCCAGAUUGUAAUUUUUAAUACAGAAUGUCUGGCACUUAAUUUUUUUUAAAAAAUCCAAAUUAUUUUAAAAAAUCAAAAGAGGAGUUCCCGUCGUGGCGCAGUGGUUAACGAAUCCGACUAGGAACCAUGAGGUUGCGGGUUCAGUCCCUGCCCUUGCUCAGUGGGUUAACGAUCCGGCGUUGCCGUGAGCUGUGGUGUAGGUUGCAGACUUGGCUUGGAUCCCGCAUUGCUGUGGCUCUGGGGUAGGCCAGUGGCUACAGCUCCGAUUAGACCCCUAGCCUGGGAACCUCUACAUGCCACGGGAGCGGCCUAAGAAAUAGCUAAAAAGACCAAAAGAAAAAAAAAAAAGAAAAAAAAAAAAAAAAAAUUUGAUUAGGGCAAAUUAGGUCAGAAUAUUUUGACUGCCCUCAGGAUUCUCUGUGUUCUGCCUUUUUUUUUUUUUUGUCUUUUUAGAGCUGCACCCUAAUAACACCCAAAGUGUUAUUUCUUGAACACCUUGAUCAUAGAUAUAAGAGAUACUAGAUAGAUACUUUAACUCAAUCAUCUGUAGGUAGGUCUGUUUUACUAUUUUUUCAAUUUCGAAGUUUUUAUUGAGACUUUAUUUUUGGCACACAGUUUCAGAAUCACAGCAAAUUGAAGGGAAGGUACAGAGAUUUCUCAUAUACGGCCUGACCUACCCAGCAUGCACAGCGACCUCAUUAUCAUCAUCCCCACGGGACAGCACAUGUUCUGCAGUGGACGGACCUGCACGGACACGUCGCGGUCAUCCCAGUCCAUGGUCCACACCUUAUGGGUCACACUUGGCGCUGUGCAUUUAAGGACUCUUCCUGGACAGUUUCAACUACGUAUGCCAUUCUAGAAAGGGCAAAACAGUGGAGCCAGUGACAGGAAAACUGGUGGCUGACAGUGGUUUCAGAGCAGAUGAACAGUGGUUUCGGGGAAGGAUAAAUACAGAACAGGGGAGCUCCUGUCAUGGGGCGGUGGAAACGAAUCUGCCUGGUAACCAUGAGGCCACAGGUUUGAUCCGUGGCCUCGUUCAGUGGGUGAAGGAUCUGGCGUUGCCGUGAGCUGUGGUGUAGGUCGCAGACGUGGCUCGGAUCCCGCGUUGCUGCAGCUGUGGUAUAGGCUGGCAGCUACAGCUCCAAUUCGACCCCUAGCCUGGGAACCUCCAUAUGCCACCAGUACAGCCAUAAAAAAAACAAUGACAAUUUGGAUUUAAUAGCAGAUUAGACACAAGUGAAGAGAGUAUUAAUAAGCUGAAAGAUGGAUCAAGGUAAAACACCAAGGGUAAACUCAGAAGAAUGUCCCGAUGCCCAGGACGUCAGCAUCUGCUCUCAGGUUUCAGCUGUGAAUCUACUGUGCAGCCUUGGGAGAUCCCUGCACAGCAGUGUAAACAGGAGGGUGAUGUGCUUUGGAAUUACGUUUCAAAGUGACCGCAGACCCUGUGAGGCGAACGAGCUGGAGGAGAGAGUGUGGAAGCAGGGCGGUCAGGUGGGUGACUUCGCCCUCGACUGCUGUGGUCCGGAAGAGAUGACGGCAGCUCUCCAGCGGCAGAGGACAUGAGUCAAGGCGUGGUUCAUGGCACAAUUAAGAUCCAAGGUAAGCAAGGCUGAGACAAUAUAAGACCUGUGGACGGACCAGUGGAAGGUGGGGAUGACAGAAGAGGCUACCUUCCACACCUACGCACUUCUCACCCUGGAGCAGUCUUGCCUCCCAGGGACAUGGGGCAAACUCUGGAGACACGUUGACAAACCUUCUACAGCGCAUCAAACUUCCUCGACCACAGUUAGCUGGUCCAAAAUGUCAACAGGGCUGCUUUGAGAAACCCCGAUUUUACUUCUUUAAAAGGUAUUCCUUGCCCUUACAUACAAGCUCUUCCCUUUUACGUGUCUGUGUUUUCCACGAAAUUGUAAAAUUCUGGACAUGAGGGACCAAAUCUUUUAUUUCUUACCUUCACCUGCUCUGCAUUGGACAUUUAACAAAAAUUAAUAGGCUGUGUUUUCAGAGAAGUUUUCUGUUUACAGAAAAACUGAAAGUACAGAGUUCCUACAUACCUCCCCUUCCCCCCACAUACAAUUUCUCCUACUAUGAACAUCUUGCAUUAGUGAUAUAUUUAUUCAUUUAUAUGAUGAACUAAAUUAAAUUAAUACAUGAUUAUUAACUGGAGUCCAAAGUUGAUACUACAUUUCUACGCUAAUAAUACCUCUCAAUAAGUAAUUAUUACUGACUAAUCUAAUCAUUUGUCAAGGAACAUAUCAAUUAAAAAAAAGAAAGUGAACCCCUAUAAGUCUAUCCACUGAUUUCUCUACAGAAACACUACAGGCCAGAAGAGACUGGUAAGAUAUAUUCAAAGUUCUAAAGAGGAAAAAUCUGCACCUAGAAUACUUUACCUAGCAAGGAUAUCAUUUAAAAUAGAAGGAAAAAUAAAGAAUUUCUCCAAUAAAUGAAAAUUGAAAGAGCACAGCAAUACUAAACCCAUUCUAAAAGAAAUAAUGAAAGGUCUCCUCUCGUAAAAAGGAAGGAAGAAGAGAGAUGACGGAGGAAAUUGCAAUUGGAAAGUAAUCAUCUAAAUAAGCCAGUAUGCAGAACUAAAAGGGGAAAACUAUUGUAAAAGCAACAAUAAACACAAGGAACAGCACAAGGUUAAACAUGAAGAUGUUAAAAAAAAAAGACUUCGAAAUCAUAAAAUGUGGGGGAGGAGGUAAGAAAAUCUAGGCUCUCUUUGCCAGGAUGAUGUGUUUGAGCCUAUAUGACUAUCAGGAUAAAGCAAGCAGAUGAAGGUGCUGACUUUCUCGGAAAACAGGGCAACCACAAAUCAAAACCCAACAAUACAUUCUCAGAAACUAAAAAGAAGAGGAUACAAACAUAAAAUAAAAGGAAAUCAUCCAACCAAAAAAAAGAGAAAGGAACAAAGGAGAAACAGAAUCAACUAGAAAACAAGGUUCAACACGGCAAUGAAUACAUAUUUAUCAAUAAUUACCUUAAAUGUCAAUGGGCUGACUGCUCCAAUCGAAAGACACACAGUGGCAGCCUGGAUAAAAAAGCAAGAUCCUACAAUAUGCUGCCUACAGGAGACUCAUCUUAGGGCAAAUGUCACACAUAAAUUGAAAACGAGGGGAUGGAAAAAGCUAUUUCAUGUGAAGGGAAAAGACAGGAAGGCAGGAGUUGCAAUACUCAUAUCAGACAAAAUAGACUUUAAAACAAAGGCCAUCAAGAGAGACAAAGAAGGACACUAUUUAAUGACGAAAGGAUCCAUUCAAGAAGAGGACAUUACACUCGUCAAAUAUAUAUGCCCCUAAUACAGGAGCACCCAAACACAUAGAACAAAUACUAACAGAAAAAAAAGGAGAAAUUGAUGGGAAUACAAUAACAGUAGACUUUAACACCCCACUCACAUCAAUGGACAGAUCCUCUCGACAGAAAAUCAAUAAGGCAACAAAGAUCCUAAAUGACGCAAUAGAAAAGCUGGACUUCAUUGACCUUUUCAGGACAUUGCCUCCAAAAAAAUCAGAAUGUACAUUCUUUUCAAGUGCACAUGUAACAUUCUCAAGGAUUGACCACAUACUGGGGCACAAAGCUAACCUCAACAAAUUUAAGAACAUAGAAUAUUUCAAGCAUCUUCUCUGACCACAAUGGAAUAAAUGAAACUAGAAAUUAACCAACAAAAGAAAUGAGAAACAACUGACUACAUGGAGAUUAAACAAUGUGCUACUGAAAAACCAAUGCAUCAACAAGGAAAUCAAAAGGGAAAUCAAAAAAUACCUCGAGACAAAUGACAAUGAAAACACAACCAUUCAAAAUCUAUGGGAUGCCGCAAAGGCAGUGCUUAGAGGAAAGUUCAUAGUGAUACAGGCUUUCCUCAAAAAAGGAGAAAAAUUUCAAAUCAACAACUUAAUCUACCAACUAAAAGAAAAAGAAGAAAAAACACAACCUAAAGUCAGAAGAAGGGAGGAAAUAAUAAAGAUCAGAGAGGAAAUCAAUAAAAUAGAGGUUCAAAAAUCAAUAGAAAAAAAGCAAUAAAACCAAGAGCUAGUUUUUUGAAAGGGUAAACAAAACUGACAAACCUCUGGCCAAACUCAGCAAAAAGAGGAAAGAAAGAAAUCAAAUAAAUGAAGAAAUGAAAAAGAGAAAUCUCAACGGAUACUGCAGGAAUACAAGAAAGAAAGAAAGAAAGAAAGAGAAUACUAUGAACAAUUAUAUGCCAACGAAUUUGACAACCUAGAAGAAAUGGACAACUUUCUAGAGACAUACAGCCUGCCAAAAUGGAAUCAAGAAGAAAUAGAUCAAUUGAACAGACCAAUCACUGUUGAAAUGAAAUUGAAGAUAUAAUAAAAACACUCCCUACAAACAAAAGUUCAGGACCAGAUGGCUUCACAGGCAAAUUCUACCAAACACACAAAGAAUUCUACCGUACAUACUUAUACCCAUCCUUCUUAAUAUAUUUGAUAAAUAUAGAUGCAAAAAUUCUCAACAAAAUUUUAGCUAACUGAAUCCAACAACACAUAAAAAAAAAUCAUACACCACAACCAAGGGGAAUUCAUCCCAGGUUCACAAGGAUGGUUCAACAUACACAAAUCAAUCAACGUCAUACACCACAUUAACAAAAUAAAAGUCAAAAACCACUUGAUCAUCUCAACAGAUGCCAAAAAAGCAUUUGACAAAGUCCAACAUCCAUUCAUGAUAAAAACUCUUACCAGUGUGGGUACAGAGGGAACAUACCUUAACAUAAUAAAAGCCAUUUAUGACAAACCCAUAGCCAAUAUAAUACUCAAUGAAGAAAAGCUGAAAGCCUUCCCUCUAAAAUCUGGAACAAGACAAGGAUGCCCACUCUCACUACUUUUAUUCUACAUAGUACUGGAAGUCCUAGCUAUAGCAAUCAGACAAACAAAAGAAAUAAAAGGUAUCUGAAUUGGAAGAGAAGAGGUAAAAUCAUCACUCUAUGCAGAUGGCAUGAUACCAUAUAUAGAAGACCCUAAGGACUCCACACCAAAAACAAUUCAAACUGAUCAAUGAAUUCAGCAAAGUAGCAGAAUAUAAGAUUAACACUCAGGAGUUCCUGUUGUGGCACAGUGGAAAUGAAUCCAACUAGUAUCCACAAGGAUGCAGGUUCAAUACCUGGCCUUGCUCAGUGGGUUAAGGAUCCAGCAUUGCCAUGAGCUGUGGUAUAGGUCGAAGAUGCGGAUCAGAUCCUAAAUUGCUGUGGCUGUGGCAUAGGCCAGCAGCUGUAGUUCUGAUUUGACCCCUAGCCUGGGAACUUCCAUAUGCCAUGGGUGUGGCCCUAAAAAACAAAAAACAAAACAAAAAAAUUAACAUUCAGAAAUCAGUUGCAUUUCUAUAUACUAACAAUGAAAUUUUAGAAAAAGAAUAUAAAAAUAUAAUACCUUUUAAAAUUUCACCCCCUAGGAAUAAACCUGAGCAAAGAAGUAAAAGACUUAUAUGCUAGAACUACAAAACAUCAAUCAAGGAAAUUAAAGAUAAUUCAAAGAGAUGGAAAGAUAUUCCAUGCCCCUGGAUUGGAAGAAUUAAUAUCAUUAAAAUGGCCUUACUACCCAAAGCAAUCUACAGAUUCAAGGCAAUCCCGAUCAACUUACCCAUGACAUUUUUCAUAGAACUAGAACAAACAAUCCAAAAAUUUAUAUGGAACUGCCAAAGCAAACCUGAGGAAAAAAAUCCAUGCAGGAGGCAUAACUCUCCCAGACUUCAGACAAUAUUACAAAGCUACAGUAAUCAGGACAGUGUGGUACUGGUACAAAAACAGACAUACACACCAAUGGAACAGAAUAGAGAACCCAGAAAUAAACUCAGACACCUAUGGUCAAUUAAUCUUCAACUAAGAAGGCAAGAAGAUAAAAUGGAAAAAAGACAGUCUCUUCAGCCAGUCCUGUGGGAAAACUGGACAGCUGCAUGUAAAUCAAUGAACCUAGAACACGCCCUUACACCAUGCACAAAAAUAUAAACUCAAAAUGGCUUAAAGACUAAGACAAGAUACCUCAAAACUCCUAGAAGAGAACACAGGCAAAACAUUCUCUGACAUUGACCGUACAAAUGUUUUCUUAGGUCAGUCUCCCAAAGCAAUAGAACAAAAACAGAAACAAAUGGGACCUAAUCACACUGACAAGCUUUUGCACACCAAAGAAAACCAUAAAAAGAAAAAAAAUAAACAAAAAGACAACCUAUGGAAUGGGAGAAAAUAGUUGUAAACAAUGCAGAUGACAAGGGCUUAAUCUCCAAAAUAUACAAACAACUCAUACAUCUCUACAGCAAAAAAAAAAAAAAAACAAAAAAAACAAAAAAAAAAACCCCAACCUAAUUGAAAAAUGGCAGAAGUCCUAAGUAGACAUUCUCCAAAGAAGACAUAGGGAUGGCCAACAGGCACGUGAAAAAAUGCUCAACAUCACUAAUUAUUAGAGAAAUGCAAAUCAAAACUACAUUGAGGUCCCACCCCACACCUGUCAGAACGGCCAUCAUUAACAAGUCAACAAAUAACAAACGCUGGAGAGGGUGUGGAGAAAAGCAUACCCUCCUACACUGUUGGUGGGAAUGUAAAUUGGUACAACCACUAAGAAAACCAGGAUGGAGGUGCCUCAGAAAACUAAGUAUAGAACUACCAUAUGACCAGCAAUCCUGCUCCUGGCAAGUUUCUAGACACAGCUUUCACUGAAAAAGAUACAUGCACCCCGUAGGUUCACUGCAGCACUAUUCACAAUAGCCCAGACAUGGAAACAACCAAAAUGUCCACCGACAGACAGACGGGUGGAUUAAGAAGAUGUGGUGUAUAUACACAUGGAACACUGCUCAGCCAAAAGAAGGAACAAAAUAAUGCCAUUCGCAGCAACAUGCAUGGAACUAGAGACUCUCAUCCUGAGUCAAGUCAGGAGAAAGACAAAUACCACAUGAUAUCACUUAUAUCUGGAAUCUAAGAUAUAUGGCACACAUGAACCUUUCCACAGAAAAGAAACAAACUCAAGGACAUGGAGAAGGGACCUGUGGCUGCCAGGAGGGAGGGGGAGGGGACCGGGAGGAACUAGAAGUUGGGGGUGAGUAGAUGCAAACUAUUGCAUUUGGAGUGGAUAAGCAGUAAGAUUCUUCUGCAUGGCACAUGGAAGUACAUCCAAUCACUUCUGGUGGAACGUGAUGGAGGACAACAUGAAAAAAAGAAUGUGUGUGGACACAUGGGCCACUCUGCUGUGCAGCGAAAAUUACAGAACACUGUAAACCAGUUAUAAUAAAAAUUAAUUUAAAAAUAUACACAACUUAGAAUAGAUUUACAAGGAGAUCCUGCUGAAUAGCAUUGAGAACUAUGUCUAGAUACUCAUGUUGCAACAGAAGAAAGGGUGGGGGAAAAAUGUAAUUGUAAUGUAUACAUGUAAGGAUAACCUGACCCCCUUGCUGUACAGUGGGAAAAUAAAAAAAUAAAUAAAUAAAAAUAAAAAUAAAAAUAAAGGAACUACCAAUUACAGAGCACCUAUUACACAUCAAGCACUAUGCAAGUCCACAUACAUCUAACCCAGACAGACACAGCUCAUGUAGAGUUACCUGCAGUAUUAUGCUAUAUUAUUAUUAUAUGUAGCCAUGUCAGUUACUGCGAGUUGGGCAUUCUCAUCUCAUUCCUAAGGUUGGGAACAUUUAGGCUCAGCAAUUUUACAUUAUUUGCACACAGUCGCACAACAGUACAUGGAGAAGUUAGAACGCAACCUGUCCCACAUUCGGGGCUCACGUCCUUUAGUUAUGACAAAUACUCCUUUUCCCCUUCUUUGUGUUACAUUUCCUGUUUGAAAAUGUCUCUGC